CCUACGGGAGGCAGCAGUGAGGAAUAUUGGUCAAUGGACGCAAGUCUGAACCAGCCAUGCCGCGUGCAGGAAGACGGUCCUAUGGAUUGUAAACUGCUUUUGUACGGGAAGAAACACUCCUACGUGUAGGAACCUGACGGUACCGUAAGAAUAAGGAUCGGCUAACUCCGUGCCAGCAGCCGCGGUAAUACGGAGGAUCCAAGCGUUAUCCGGAAUCAUUGGGUUUAAAGGGUCCGUAGGCGGUUUAAUAAGUCAGUGGUGAAAUCUGGUCGCUCAACGAUCAAACUGCCAUUGAUACUGUUAGACUUGAAUUACUGUGAAGUAACUAGAAUAUGUAGUGUAGCGGUGAAAUGCUUAGAUAUUACAUGGAAUACCAAUUGCGAAGGCAGGUUACUAACAGUUGAUUGACGCUGAUGGACGAAAGCGUGGGGAGCGAACAGGAUUAGAUACCCUGGUAGUCCACGCCGUAAACGAUGGAUACUAGUUGUUUGGAUUUAUCUGAGUGACUAAGCGAAAGUGAUAAGUAUCCCACCUGGGGAGUACGAACGCAAGUUUGAAACUCAAAGGAAUUGACGGNUGAGACGNGCGAGACGACGACGAGGAGAGG
rnacentral:rRNA from 1 species